UACUUAUCGCGUUAGCUGCGCCACUAAAGCCUCAAAGGCCCCAACGGCUAGUAGACAUCGUUUACGGCAUGGACUACCAGGGUAUCUAAUCCUGUUUGCUCCCCAUGCUUUCGUACCUCAGCGUCAGUAUUAGGCCAGAUGGCUGCCUUCGCCAUCGGUAUUCCUCCAGAUCUCUACGCAUUUCACCGCUACACCUGGAAUUCUACCAUCCUCUCCCAUACUCUAGCUCUCCAGUAUCGAAUGCAAUUCCUAAGUUAAGCUCAGGGAUUUCACAUCCGACUUAAAAAGCCGCCUACGCACGCUUUACGCCCAGUAAAUCCGAUUAACGCUCGCACCCUCUGUAUUACCGCGGCUGCUGGCACAGAGUUAGCCGGUGCUUAUUCUGCGAGUAACGUCCACUCACUUUAGGUAUUAACUAAAGGAGCCUCCUCCUCGCUUAAAGUGCUUUACAACCAAAAGGCCUUCUUCACACACGCGGCAUGGCUGGAUCAGGCUUGCGCCCAUUGUCCAAUAUUCCCCACUGCUGCCUCCCGUAGGAGUCUGGGCCGUGUCUCAGUCCCAGUGUGGCGGAUCAUCCUCUCAGACCCGCUACAGAUCGUCGCCUUGGUAGGCCUUUACCCCACCAACUAGCUAAUCCGACUUAGGCUCAUCUAUUAGCGCAAGGUCCGAAGAUCCCCUGCUUUCCCCCGUAGGACGUAUGCGGUAUUAGCAUUCCUUUCGGAAUGUUGUCCCCCACUAAUAGGCAGAUUCCUAAGCAUUACUCACCCGUCCGCCGCUAGGUCAGGUAGCAAGCUACCUUUCCCCGCUCGACUUG
rnacentral:rRNA from 1 species